ensembl:scaRNA
GGCCUCUUGCCCCCUGGGCUGCUGGGGAUCCCAGUGCUCCUCAGCCAGGGCUGGAGGCCAAGACAAACCCUGGAGGAGCAUGGUCAGAGCUGCUGCGAGCAGGCAUCCUUGCUUCUCUGCCUCAGACAGGC